GUGCAGAUGGCGCUGCUGUCGCUAGAGUAGGGAAUAUGGCGAAGUGUUUUGACAAAUUGGGUAAUAUGAUUGACAAAAAGAAACGAUUACUAGGUUUACGCUAUUAGGAAAAUUGUUGAAGAUUCGAAAAAUGAAUUAUAAGAGCCAUUUCGUCCGUACGCGACGAAGAAUAACACGCAACCGAGACGAAAACAUUGGCGAAAAUUAACGACGAACCUGACCUGUGAUGUUUAUGUUAAAAACUACGACUAACGGCUCUCGCUGUAAUGUUUAUGAUCGGAUCUACGACUCACGGCUUUCGCCCGUAAUACUGGUGUUUGGCUCGAUCUCCUUACCACGAGUCUCACAGAAUAUUGUAGGCGAAGAGGAUUCAAAAUGACUUCGAAUAUUCGAUAUGAGUCUGCAACCAUUAAAAAGAAUUCUUAAAAUAAAAAGGUAUCAACUACAACGAUGAAUAUAAAAUCAUUUUUUACUAAGAUAUUCGUGGCAUUGAAACUGAUAAAUAAACGUAUUAUGCUGGAUAUAUAUUAGCUCGUAAAGGAACAAACUACCCAUUUGUCCCGCCGUUGCUCAGCCUAGUUAUUUAUGGGUAGACAAGUUGCGAAUUCAAAUUAGGUCUGAAACUCGCUUCGCCUGUCUCAAUAGGGAUCGACGCGUCAUAAACCCUCGAGAACAUCCAGAACUUUGAAAACACGAAUCGGUUUUCCAAAUUAACACACGGACAACCUACUUGUAUAACUCGUAUGGGACGUGGAAGACUCAGGGAAUCGCUCGAAAAUACUUCUUGCUGUUUCACACCCUCAUCUACAUUUAUAACCCCUUAAGAACUGAAUGAAGGCAAAAGGCAAUUCAGUAGACAAAAAAGGAAGUGGAAGAAGCGGUACUUUUUAGCUAUACGAACUCUGAACUUGCUAGUUUUGAAACUUUUGGACUUGUGAACUUCGAGUUCAGUAGCUCUGAAACUCAAGAACUUAGCAUACUGAAUUUAGUACGUUUCACUAAGUUUUAAGCGCAUGUAAGUUAGCGUUUGAAUUUAUUAGGCGAGGAUUUUAGACGCUUUCAUUUUGAAACGAGCCGCAGGAAGAUUGUGAAAGAGGAAUGCUCUAAAUUAAAGUUAAUAGCCAUUAGAGUUACACUCUUUUAAAGAGCAAAGGAGUUAUGAGAUAAGUGUAAAAUGCAGGAAUGGGUAGGAAGAAUAAUUGGAAGAACACAUGAGAACAGUACGUGCAACUGCACUUUCCUUAUGUCUCAUUUUAGUUGCUGGACAAGUAGAAUUACAAGAAAAUGGAAUUUCCACGGCUUUCUGCCCUUUUUAGUAUCCGUUAAAAAAAUUCUCCAUUAAGAAAAAGUCUUUUCAAUAAAAAUUCACAAAUUAAUUUUGAAAAGGAUGACCAAGAUCAAAAUAGAAUAUUUAAUCCUGAGUCAAUGAAUAAAUUCGAAACAGAGUAAGAUUUAUUACAUCAUUUAUGAAACUCAUUUAUAUCCGAUGAUCAUCCACGUCUGAACCAACACGAAGGUCAGUCUCAUGAUUUGCAGUAUCAAAAUAGGUAGCAACGAUUCGAAGUGGCCGAUCAAUCAUGCAAUUUAAGCACUCGACCAAACUGCAACGAUCGCUUAAUCGGAAACACUUGGACGGUGUAAUAAAGCUCGCUAAAGGUGUCCAUGGCUGCUGACUUCUCCCAACCUAAAUACCAGACCACUUUGUUUUUCCUCGUGAACUGCGUUCUCUACAGUUCCUAUGAGUCAGCUCAUUCCAUGGCUCGUUAAAUCCCGACCCAGCCCAAGCCAUAAGUGGAGGCUUUGGAUUGUUUCCUCUAGAACCUGUCUUCUCUGAAAGAAUUUUGACACAAUUGCCUUGGAACUUGCGCUUGAUCCAUCAUCUGUGAUCUACGGCCUAUAGUGGCGGCGUUAUCUCGUCUAAGACGGAAGUAACUUAACCUGGAAGAUCGUUUUUAAAUUUCAUAAUUAAGCAGGAUAAGAAUGAUCGCAUGACGUUCCUAUCUGACUAGUCUAUAGUAUCUUUUUAUAAACUGCUAUACAUAUUUUGCUUUUUAA
rnacentral:lncRNA from 1 species